CGCACGAGUGUGGGCCGGACGGAGGGAGCCGGGAAGCGGCGAGCGCGCCAGGAGCGCAGCUGCGGGCGUCGGGGCGGCAGGAGCCUUGAAGCCGGCCCGAGAGCGGGGCUGGGCGGCUGAGGCAAAGGCGACGAAAUGAAUGCCGAACGCUUACGAAGAGAUAAAGGUUAUUUGGUACAUAUUGGUGGUCUCUGUCCUUCAGUAUCUGAGAACCACAGAUAUAUAGAUCUGUCAGUGAACUCGUAUCCAGCACAUAUGAAGAACUCUAUAACACUUCAGUAAGAAUGCUGAAAUAAACCAACUCACUAAGAAAUGGGCAAAGGAACUGAACAGAGACUUUGUGAAAGAAGAUAUCAUUGGUCAAUAGGCACAUAAAAAGAACUGCAAAGAAAUGUCAAGCACAUGAACACAGCUAGACAAUCCAAGGCAAGAUGAAUGUCAGAAGAUUUUGGCUUCCUGGAAAAAACUCACCAUGGACUUUGGUUAUUCAGAAUUAGCUACUUCUUCUGUAAGGCUAUCAGAUAAAUCACAAGAUUGUUGUCAGCUGGGAAGAUGGUGGAGGUAACAGUUUUAAACUCGCCCCUGAACCUCCUAGACAGAGUUACUGGAAGAGAAGCAAACAAAACAAAGCAAAAGGCCCUGGGACAACAUAUACAGUACCAAAAAAAUUAAGUGAUAAGGAGUCCUGUGAAUCCCAAAAUUUGAGCAGUCAGGACAAAUCUGCAAGAGCUACAGUUGCAAUUGGUACUGACAGCUACGGAGGACAAGGAGGGACACAGUGGGGAAUCUAGGGGAGCUGAGCACAGGAGGACCAACCUUGCAGCUGCAAUGGACAGGGUGAGACACCCUCACGUGAGACGAUUCACAGUAAUGCACGGAUCCAUGGUAAAGUCCUCAGGAGCUGGAGCAUGACAGUCCUCUGAACACCCAAAAUUAGGCAAAGCUCCCUUCCAGGACAAAGCCCCACAUUAGAGAUAAGUGUGAGGAAUUAAAAUAUCAAAUACUACUGGAGUCAGUUAAAAAGACCUUUAGUAUAAGAAAGGGUGGUUCAAAGAAAAAUGGGGGAAAGAUAGAGAAAAACCUAGGAAAUCUCAAGAAAUAUGAGGCCAUAUUUUUAGCACUUCACAAAACUGGCAUAAGAAGAGCAUUAGAGCCAUAAAUCUAGUAAAAGGAUUCAGACCCACUUCUACCUGCUACAAGUUUGGGAAAACAGAUUUUCACACCAGAAUGACAACAGGAAGGACUGCGGCUCACAGGACAGAGUGACACCCUUAGAUGAAGGCAUGUCAGAAAGAUACACCUGCAAAACAGAAGAAAACCAGGAUCCACUGUUUCAAGAAAUGAGAAAAGACAUUAAGAAAAUGAUAUAAUAGGA